rnacentral:rRNA from 1 species
GCCUGCAUGCAGCAACGCCGCGUGAGGGAUGACGGCCUCUCGGGUUGUAAACCUCUUUUAGUAGGGAAGAAGCGAAAGUGACGGUACCUGCAGAAAAAGCACCGGCUAACUACGUGCCAGCAGCCGCGGUAAUACGUAGGGUGCAAGCGUUGUCCGGAAUUAUUGGGCGUAAAGAGCUCGUAGGCGGUUUGUCGCGUCUGCUGUGAAAUCCCGAGGCUCAACCUCGGGCUUGCAGUGGGUACGGGCAGACUAGAGUGCGGUAGGGGAGAUUGGAAUUCCUGGUGUAGCGGUGGAAUGCGCAGAUAUCAGGAGGAACACCGAUGGCGAAGGCAGAUCUCUGGGCCGUAACUGACGCUGAGGAGCGAAAGCAUGGGGAGCGAACAGGAUUAGAUACCCUGGUAGUCCAUGCCGUAAACGUUGGGCGCUAGAUGUAGGGACCUUUCCACGGUUUCUGUGUCGUAGCUAACGCAUUAAGCGCCCCGCCUGGGGAGUACGGCCGCAAGGCUAAAACUCAAAGGAAUUGACGGGGGCCCGCACAAGCGGCGGAGCAUGCGGAUUAAUUCGAUGCAACGCGAAGAACCUUACCAAGGCUUGACAUACACCGGAAACGGCCAGAGAUGGUCGCCCCCUUGUGGUC